rnacentral:lncRNA from 1 species
GAAACUUGGAAUGUUAUGACCUGAAGGGACCUCAAGGAUCACAGCACAAUAGGAUUUGAAGAUUCAAAUUAUAUUCUCAAGAAUUCCAGUGCCUGGUGUACUGCUUAUCCCAAGCUUUCACAUGCAUACUCUUAGAAAUGUUGAAGACUGCAGUCCAUAAGGUAGGAAAAGUUCGAAAGUCACUUCUAAUAUAAGAUUCUUUGCUU